AUUUUACCUAGCAAGGUUUGGGUUUUUAGCUAAAGAUUGCUUCAUGAUCUGCCACCAAUUUGAGGGCCCCAAGGUACUGAAGAUGAUAUUCACCCUUUUAUGGACAUGCGUUGCUUUCAAUCGGCCCAGUUUCGGCUUCGUUAGAGGGCACCAAUUUGAUUAGAAGUGGUUACAUGGACACAACCAGGAUGGAAGCCUAGCAAUACUCUUCAAGGCCCAAUGGCUAUUUGAUUUAUAGGUUAGAUAUGUUGAAAUCGAGAUUGGAAUAUGUAAUGGUAGAGAUUUAUUCUAUACAAAUGUCUACGCGGCUAAAUUUCAUUUAUCAAUUCUGUUUAUUGUAAAUAUAAAUUCAAAUUUGAGUAUAA
rnacentral:lncRNA from 1 species